rnacentral:rRNA from 1 species
CCUACGGGAGGCAGCAGUGGGGAAUAUUGGACAAUGGGCGAAAGCCUGAUCCACCAUGCCGCGUGGGUGAAGAAGGCCUUCGGGUUGUAAAGCCCUUUUGUUGGGAAAGAAAUCCUGUCGGUUAAUACCCGGCGGGGAUGACGGUACCCAAAGAAUAAGCACCGGCUAACUUCGUGCCAGCAGCCGCGGUAAUACGAAGGGUGCAAGCGUUACUCGGAAUUACUGGGCGUAAAGCGUGCGUAGGCGGUUCGUUAAGUCUGUCGUGAAAGCCCUGGGCUCAACCUGGGAAUUGCGAUGGAUACUGGCGGGCUAGAGUACGGUAGAGGAUGGUGGAAUUCCCGGUGUAGCGGUGAAAUGCGUAGAGAUCGGGAGGAACACCCGUGGCGAAGGCGGCCAUCUGGACCAGUACUGACGCUGAGGCACSAAAGCGUGGGGAGCAAACAGGAUUAGAUACCCUGGUAGUCCACGCCCUAAACGAUGCGAACUGGAUGUUGGGCACACUUAGGUGCUCAGUGUCGAAGCUAACGCGUUAAGUUCGCCGCCUGGGGAGUACGGUCGCAAGACUGAAACUCAAAGGAAUUGACGG